GCUCCAAUGGCGCAAUGGUAGCGCGCAAGACUUCUACCAAGACAUUGUACAACAUGUCACGUGACAUCUUGAGGUUGAGGGUUCGAGCCCCUCUUGGAGUG
rfam:Pseudogymnoascus sp. 23342-1-I1 unplaced genomic scaffold scaffold_10, whole genome shotgun sequence.